rnacentral:misc_RNA from 1 species
GAUGAAGAACGCAGCGAAAUGCGAUAAGUAAUGUGAAUUGCAGAAUUCAGUGAAUCAUCGAAUGUUUGAACGCGCAUUGCGACCGCUGGUAUUCCGGCGGGCAUGCCUGUUCGAGCGUCAUUUCAACCCUCAAGCUCUCCGGAGUUUGGUGUUGGGGCGCCUGGGGCUUUUCGACCUCAGGGCCCUCAAGUCCAUCGGCGGGACCGCUAGGACACUGAGCGCAGUAGUAUUAUUUCGCUCGGUAGGAUCUUGCACGGCGGGUCGAUCUGGCCGCUAAACCCCCCAAUUCUCACCAAAGGUUGACCUCGGAUCAGGUAGGAAUACCCGCUGAACUUAAGCAUAUCAAUAAGCGGAGGA